UAUCCGCGUUUGUUUCUACUACCCCAAACUUUUUAGCCCCUUCUCUCUUUCCUUUUCAUAUAAACAACAAAUGAGUCAAACGCAUCUCUUCUCAACCACUACUUUGAGGGAACGUAUACUACAUCAGCGGAAGACGACUGAAGGCACUUGAAACUGAAAAUUUCUCUCGAAUCAAGGAUUCUUUCACAUUCAAUCGGAACAAUUGAGUGGUCAUAUCUAUUUCGAUGUACCAUUUUUGGGUUCAUUCAUUUCAAAUGAUUUAGGUAAUUAAGGAGAAAAAACAGACCUAAUGGAAACAACAACAAGGUUUGUUAUGCUUGGAUGGAACAAUAGAGGAAAAAAAGAGGAGCAUAACAAGUUUGAAAAAAUAAAAAGCUAAGAUGAAAACGAAAUUGUUCUUAAUAAUAUUAGGCACUAACAAAAUAUAUAUACAUAGCUUACUUGAUGUACACAUUAUAUAUAUCCGUUUUUUCUUCGAAUCUUGGUGUAUGCAUUGUUCUUAACUAUAUUAGUUAAAUGGUUUUUUUUUCAA